UACGAAGGGGGCUAGCGUUGCUCGGAAUCACUGGGCGUAAAGGGUGCGUAGGCGGGUCUUUAAGUCAGGGGGUGAAAUCCUGGAGCUCAACUCCAGAACUGCCUUUGAUACUGAGGAUCUUGAGUUCGGGAGAGGUGAGUGGAACUGCGAGUGUAGAGGUGAAAUUCGUAGAUAUCGAGAGGAACACCGGCGGCGAAGGCGGCGCCUGGGCCAAUAUUGACGUGAGGUGCGAAAAGCGUGGGGGAGCAAAACAGGAUUAGAAA
rnacentral:rRNA from 1 species